rnacentral:lncRNA from 1 species
GGAACAGGGCUCCACAAGGACAUGAAUACCAGGUGGCAGGGAUCACUGGGCCAUCUCUCUAAAUCACGAAUGAAACAUUUGCAACCUGUGUCUCCCAAACAUGAUAUGUCUCAAUCAUCAAAGGAUCUACAGUGACUACAAUAACCAAGUGCUACAAAAACGCUGUGACGAGGAAUCUGAACAACAGAGAUUUGAGGGAAACAAAACACUUUCGACGAAGGUCCUGCUGCUUGUCUUCAGCUUGGUACCAAUUAGAGCUUCACUGGAGGUGAAAAGAAAAUACUUCAUGUCUUGCUGUCUGAAGCUCCAGAGGGGACAUUGACAGAAAGAACAUUAAUAAGAACAGAGAAGCAGAGAAGCC